rnacentral:rRNA from 1 species
AUACGGAGGGUGCGAGCGUUAAUCGGAAUUACUGGGCGUAAAGGGUGCGUAGGCGGCUUGAUAAGUCGGAUGUGAAAGCCCCGGGCUUAACCUGGGAAUUGCAUUCGAUACUGUCAGGCUAGAGUAUGUCAGAGGUUGGCGGAAUUCCUGGUGUAGCGGUGAAAUGCGUAGAUAUCAGGAGGAACACCAGUGGCGAAGGCGGCUAACUGGGACAAUACUGACGCUGAGGCACGAAAGCGUGGGGAGCAAACGGGAUUAGAAACCCCAGUAGUCC